UACGUAGGGGGCUAGCGUUGUCCGGAAUCAUUGGGCGUAAAGCGCGUGUAGGCGGUUCGGUAAGUCCGCUGUGAAAGUCGGGGGCUCAACCCUCGAAUGCCGGUGGAUACUGUCGGACUAGAGUACGGAAGAGGCGAGUGGAAUUCCUGGUGUAGCGGUGAAAUGCGUAGAUAUCUGGAGGAACACCCGUGGUGCAGACGGCUUGCUGGACCGUGACUGACGCUGAGGCACGAAAGCGUGGGUAGCAAACAGG
rnacentral:rRNA from 1 species